GAUGAACGCUGGCGGCGUGCCUAAUACAUGCAAGUCGAGCGAACAGAUAAGGAGUUUGCUCCUUUGACGUUAGCGGCGGACGGGUGAGUAACACGUGGAUAACCUACCUAUAAGACUGGGAUAACUGCGGGAAACCGGAGCUAAUACCGGAUAAACUAUUGAACCGCAUGGUUCAAUAGUGAAAGGCCGCUUUGCUGUCCCUUAUAGAUGGAUCCGCGCCGUAUUAGCUAGUUGGUAAGGUAACGGCUUACCAAGGCAACGAUACGUAGCCGGUCUGAGAGGGUGAUCGGCCACACUGGAACUGAGACACGGUCCAGACUCCUACGGGAGGCAGCAGUAGGGAAUCUUGCGCAAUGGGCGAAAGCGUGACGGAGCAACGCCGCGUGAGUGAUGAAGGUCUUCGGAUCGUAAACCUCUGUUAGCAGGGAGGAACAAAUGGGUAAGUAACGGUGCACGUCUUGACGGUACCUGAACAGAAAGCCACGGCUAACUACGUG
rnacentral:rRNA from 1 species